rnacentral:rRNA from 1 species
AAUCCUCCAGGCCGAAUAUCUAAGGUUUCCAGGGUAAAGCUGAUCUGCCCUGGGUAAGUCGGGGCCUAAGGCGAGGUCGAAAGACGUAGCCGAUGGACAACAGGUUGAGAUUCCUGUACUAUCAUAUGACAGAACUGUGGGGACACAGAGGGAAAGCCUGAGCCGGGAAAGGGAAACCCGGUGCAAGCGAAGUAGGAGCUGGACUGGCAAAUCCGUCCAGCAAUCCGAAGGCGUGACGCGUACCGAAUUCAAGUAGGGAAGCAGGUGAGCCAGCUGUCGAGAAAAGCCGCUAUUGUUCAUAUGAUACCCGUACCGUAAACCGACACAGGUGGAUGAGGAGAGAAUCCUAAGGCCGGCGGGAGAAGCAUUGUUAAGGAACUCGGCAAAAUGACCCCGUAACUUCGGGAGAAGGGGUGCCUCUGAAAGGAGGCCGCAGAGAAUAGGCUCAAGCAACUGUUUAGCAAAAACACAGGUCUAUGCGAAACCGAAAGGUGAGGUAUAUGGGCUGACGCCUGCCCGGUGCUGGAAGGUUAAGAGGAGGAGUCAGGCAACGAAGCUCCGAAUUUAAGCCCCAGUAAACGGCGGCCGUAACUAUAACGGUCCUAAGGUAGCGAAAUUCCUUGUCGGGUAAGUUCCGACCCGCACGAAAGGCGUAAUGAUUUGAGCGCUGUCUCGACAAUGCACCCGGUGAAAUUGAAGUACCAGUGAAGAUGCUGGUUACCUGCGCCAGGACGGAAAGACCCCAUGGAGCUUUACUCCAGCUUGAUACUGGGAUUCGAUGCUGUAUGUACAGGAUAGGUGGGAGACUGAGAAGUGAUUACGCCAGUAAUCAUGGAGUCACUGUUGGGAUACCACUCUUGCAGCAUUGGGUUUCUAACCUGCGCCCGUGACCCGGGCGGGGGACAAUGUCUGGCGGGGAGUUUGACUGGGGCGGUCGCCUCCGAAAGGGUAUCGGAGGCGCUCAAAGGUUCCCUCAGGAUGGUUGGAAACCAUCCGAAGAGUGCAAAGGCAUAAGGGAGCUUGACUGUGACACCGACGGGUGGAGCAGGUACGAAAGUAGGACUUAGUGAUCCGGUGGUAUUAAGUGGGAAUGCCAUCGCUCAACGGAUAAAAGCUACCCUGGGGAUAACAGGCUUAUCACUCCCAAGAGUUCACAUCGACGGAGUGGUUUGGCACCUCGAUGUCGGCUCAUCGCAUCCUGGGGCUGUAGCAGGUCCCAAGGGUUGGGCUGUUCGCCCAUUAAAGCGGUACGCGAGCUGGGUUCAGAACGUCGUGAGACAGUUCGGUCCCUAUCCGGCGCAGGCGGAGGAUAUUUGAGAGGAGCUGUCCUUAGUACGAGAGGACCGGGAUGGACGGACCGCUGGUG